rnacentral:lncRNA from 1 species
CAAAAUAGAGGCUAUCAAAUGUUUCAUACCUAAGAAUGGAGGGCAGCUCCUGUUUACCAUUUUUACUAUCUUUCCUUACAAUUAAUACUCCAUGAAAGACUUUUUAAAAUUCAUGUUAGCUAGAACUAUGGUAAUGAAUCUUUUCAUUGCAAAGCAACAGUUUGGAGCUUCCAGUAGAAUAACAACAAAAAUCUGGGAUGAAAUAAAAACCAAUUG